UUACAGGCGCCCGCCACCACGUCCGGCUACUUUUUGUAUUUUUAGUAGAGAUGGGGUAUCACCAUAUGGGCCAGGCUGGUCUUGAACUCCUGACCUUAGGCGAUUCACCCGCCUCGGCCUCCCAAAGUGCUGGGAUUACAGGCGUGAGCCACUGCACCUGACCACUAUUCACUUUAAAUGGGUAUACUGUAUGGUAUGUGAAUUAUAAUCGCAAUGAAUCUAUUCUAAAAAUAUAGUUAUUGAAAAUAUAUAAUUAUAAAAAGCAUUAUGAAGCUAUUCCCCCCCACACCAGAAGCUAUUUUAAUAAAAGAUUUUAACCUACUAGAAAUAAAAGGAAAAUUAAGUAGUCAAGAGUUCUAAUCCUUCUCUGUUAACCACAGGAAACCUGGCUGUUUGGACUGGGUGUCUGUGUCAACAGACCACCACCAACCUGGAACAGUAUUUGCUAAUAACAAGCAAAGUAUUCCUGAGUAAUAAUAGCUUCUUGAUUGUUGGACUCCCAUAAAGCAGUCAUUAUUAAGCUUUUUAACUUUUUUUUUGUUGGGGUGGGGGUGGUGUGCGUAAAGUAUUGCAUUAUGUUUACUUUAGUAUAUAAUCCAAAACCCAUGACCUUGCAAUCCCUCUCCUAGGUAUAUAUACCCGAUUGAAAUGCAUUCUUUGCGAUGCGGGUAAAGAGGGGAUGGUUAAUGGGUACACAAAAUAUAGAAAGAAAAGUAAGAUCUAGUAUUUGCUAUCACAACAGGGUGACUAUAGUAAAAAAUAAUUGUUCAUUAAAAAAUAACUAAAAGAGAGGCCAGGUGCGGUGGCUCAUGCCUGUAAUCCCAACACUUUGGGAGGCCGAGAUGGGUGGAUUGCCUAAGGUCAGGAGUUCGAGACCAGCCUGACAAACACGGUGAAACCCUGUCUCUAUUAAAAAUACAAAAACUAGCCAGGCAUGGUGGCAGGUGCCUGUAAUCCUAGCUACUCGGGAUGCUGAGUGUGGAGAAUCGCUUGAACCUGGGAGGCAGAGGUUGCAGUAAGCCAAGGUUGCGUCAUUGCACUCCAGCCUGAGCAACAAGAGUGAAACUCCAUCUCAAACAAACAAGCAAACUAAGAGUAUAAUUGGAUUGUUGGAAACAUAAAGGAUAGAUGUUUGAGGUGAUGAAUACUGUAUUUACUCUGAUGUAAUUAUUACACAUUGCAUGCCUAUAUCAAACAUCUCAUGUAACCCAUAAAUAUAUACACCCACUAUGUAUCCACAAAAAUUAAAAAAGAGCCCGGGCAUGGUGGCUCACAUCUGUAAUCCCAGCACUUUGGGAGGCCAAGGCGGGCGGAUCACCUGGGGUCGGGAGUUCGAGACCAGCCCGACCAACACGGAGAAACCCUGUCUCUACUAAAAAAUACAAAAUUAGCCGGGCGUGGUGGCGCAUGCCUCUAAUCCCAGCUACCCGGGAGGCUGAGGCAGGAGAAUCACUGGAACCUGGGAGGCGGAGGUUGUGGUGAGCUGAGAUCGUGCCAUGGCACUCCAGCCUGGGCAAUAAGAGCAAAACUCCGUCUCAAAAAAAAAAAAAAAUUAAAAAAGAAAUGCAUUCUUAUGUUAUACCAAAACACAUAUUCAUAGUAGUUCUAUUUAUAGUUGCCCCAAACUAGGUCAAUCAAAUCUUCAAAAAAAGUAAAAUAGUUAAUUCAUGGUCACAAAACAUACAUAUUUCAUAAUUUCAUUUGUAUAAACCUCAAAAGCAAAACCAAUCUAUGGUAUUUCAAGUCAAGAUUGUGGUUACCUUUAAGGGAGAAAAUAGCAACUGGGAAAAGGUAUGAGGGGGGAUUCUAGGGUGCUGGUAACGAUCUGUUUCUUGAUUUGGGUGCUGGCUAUAUAUGUUCACUAUUCAUUUUUUAAAAAUAGACACAGAGUCUCACUAUGUUGCCCAGGCUGGUCUUAAACUCUUGGCCUCAAGCAGUCCUCCCACCUCGGCCUCCCAAAGUGCUUGGAUUACGGGAGUGAGCCACCAUUCCCAGCUAGCCACCUCAUUUAAAAUAGUAUUACUUGGCCGGGUGCAGUGGCUGACGCCUGUAAUUCCAGCACUUUGGGAGGCCGAGGCGGGUUGGGAUCAAGCCAGCCUGGCGAACAUGGUGAAACCUCAACUCUCCUAAAAUUACAAAAUUAGUAAUCGAGACCAUUCUGGGUAACAUGGUGAAAUCCCAUCUCUACUAAAAAUACAAAAAAUUAGCUG
rnacentral:lncRNA from 10 species